AUCAGGACAGACUGAGAAACUCUCCAGGCAAGGUGGCCUGGGAGAGGCCCUGCUCAAACUGGGAACAGGCAGAGAACCCAGGAAGAGGAAGGGGCUCUAUGGCUCUUUCUGCAACAGUUAUUUGUUUGGAGAAAACAGUCCAAAAUGGAGAUUAUCUUUUGGUAGAAUUAUCCCCAUCCCCACCAAACAUACACUGGGAGGAGUUAUGCUAAUUAGUGGGUGGAGCUUGAUCCCUUGGAUACAGAUACCGCACUACUGAUGGUCUAAGCCUCGGCAGGGUUUUGGGGACAUCUGGCCUUUGCACCCCCUCUUCAUCUCCCAGCAUCAGCAUGGGUGGAGCCUUACCAACCUCCGUCACCUUGGUAAUAUCAGAUUUGGACUCUGAGCUGUUUAGUAGAGCUGGGAAUUUGAUGGUGGGUAUGGGAAAGAGUGGGAAGGUGAUUUAAUGGACACAACGGAUUAUUGAGACAAAUCUUCACAAUGUGGAUGCAAGAGGACAUCAAGGACAAAUAACCAAAGAAUGCAGUACAGUGUUCCAGAGAGUUUAUAUAAUAAGACAGACUCUGCUCUUACUUAUGUUGGUGUAGAUCUUGAGUAACUCCCAGAGUAAACUGGAAAUAAUUCGGAUUUACAGCAAUACAAGUGAGAGCAGCAUCUGGCCCCCUGAAUGUACGCUUUUUUUUUUUUUUUUUAUUAUAAAGCUUAAGUGAUGACUCAUGAGUUUCACUUAUAAGCUGUGUUAGGGACAAUUGAAAAAGGAUAUUAAUUGGGAGAAUUCUGAUUUAUCACUCCAUAUAUUGUGAGUGUUGGUAGGAUGUUUGAUUUUUAAUGGGCCAAUUCCUGAGAGGCCCUGGAUAACUGAACAUGAACAGGUAACUGUCACAGUGUCUGCAAUGGCUCACGAGCAUGAGUGCCUCCCUCAGGGUAGACUGUCAAAAACAUGGCAGACACCCAUCAACUUAGUAACAAAUGUGAGCUCCUGGAUCACACUAACAGUUUUAUCAUGGAGUCACAGACAAUACCCUUAGUCUAUCUUGCCACCCACUCAAGCUGGAUUUAGAGAUGAAUGGUCAAUUACAUUAAAAAUCACAAAAUAUUCCCGUGGCUUUCAGUCCCAAGAGACCAGUCACUUACUUCAGAUCAAUUGGUAUCUUAGAUCUCACACCAAAGACCAUGCCUGAAGCCAAUUAUGUAAUAAACUAAAUAAUAAGGUUUAUUAGCAAGGAAAAAGAAAUAAAACUCUUAUUUACAGGUUCAAGCAAGCAUAUAACACAAAGGAGUUCCAAUCUAAACCCUACGAGUGACAGAAUUGUAGUGAUCUGUCAAUUCAAACUGUCUUUCAGGGCAACCCCAGGGAUAACCCUGGUGAUCUCUUGCUUCUGUUUAGAGUCUCUAGCCCGGUGAUGAAAUGACAUGAAGAUUUUUCAUCUCUCUUGACAACUAUUAUUAUUUCCCUCAUCCAGCAUUCAAACCAAUGGGAUGAGGUGGCCUUCCACAAGUAUUUCUCCAUGGGUGGAUGGGGGCAUUUAACAAAGCUUUUGUCUUAUAAUGACCCACUUAAUUUUUGAUAGUCCUCCUGGAUGGGCAGGGAGGGGGAGGAAUGAUUCCUGUGACUGGGUUCACAAGUUCAGAGCAAACAUUUCAAAGUGAUAACGCAAAAUUUACAUAUUUCAUUAUCGCAUGCAAUACAGACAUUAUAAGUAAGAUUAAUGCAUGCAGCAACUUACAAGCAUUUCAUAGAGUCUAAACACUCAACACAUUCUGAUGAGACUAAUACCUAUUUUGAACAAAACUAACGUACAGAUGAGCUGGUUUGGUUUCCAGCUGUGAGUUUGUCCAUUCUUAGUUAAUACCUAUGGCCUUGGCCAGAGCUGGCACGUGGUUUACCAGCAUCACAGUAACAUUUUCCAAAAUGCCUAGGUCCCAUUUCAAAAGUGACACAGGCAUUUAGCCUCAUUGAAAAAUCCAUGGAAUUUAGGCUCCUCAGUCAUAAAUAACUGUUGCUUUUGAAACUGGGACUUAAAUUCCUAAAUCACUGAAGCAAAUUUGAAAAUUCUGCUGUGACUUCUACUGAAUGUCAGUGGAAUUUAGGCUCUAAAUCACACAGGCAUUCUGUAAAUUUUUACCCCAAAUUUUUACCCCAAAUCAGAGGCUUUACUACCACUGACUGCCGUGGAGUUACACAGGUGGAGCUGAGAUCAGGAGGGCCGGCUCCAGCUUUUUUGCCGCCCCAAGCAACAAAGAAAAAAAAACAAAAAAAACUACACCUGAUUGAGCUGCCGCCGAAGUGCUGCCGAAGAGGAAGAGAGGGAACGAAGGACCCGCCGCCGAAGACGUGCCGCCCCAAUAACGCACGGAGUGAUGCCCCUUUCUAUUGGCCACCCCAGGCACCUGCUUCCUUUGCUGGUGCCUGGAGCCGGCCCUGGAGAUCAGAAUCCAGUUCUGUAGCCACAUGAAUGGCAUUUCUUUUUCUUUAUAAUGUCAAAAUAAUAUUUAAUGUUGUAAACUGAAUUCACUUUUAAAAAUAUUAGAUUGACCAGACCUUUACUUUUGUAUUCCAAACACCUUACCUCACACUUGUGCCGGGGCUUCCUUCAAAACAGCUUCAUCCACCCAUCAUUGAGUAGUUUUUAACUUUCAUUCUUAAUUAAAAUGCAAAUUGGAAAGUGUUUAACAAUCCCCGUCAAUUAUUAAAAUACGAAAACAGGUCUGUGAGACACAAAAAAAGAAAAAGGCUUCCUACGAAAAGAAACAUUAUUGCCAUGUUUGCAAGUUUCACUAGUAACUCCCCAGAGACUACACCGCUUUUUCCUACUUCUUUUAAAAUGUUUGUAACAAGCCAAACUGGGGAAAACUGUAAAACCUCCUUCAUUUUUUAAAAAUAAAAAUGAAAUGAAAUGUUGUAUGAUUUCAAGUGAAAAAGUAAGCAGCUUCCUCUCCACUGUCAUUGCGGGAGAGGGCUGAGGAAAGGUUUAUUUGUCUACAAAUGUAGUUCUGCUGGUGACCUGUGAUGUUGCUCUCCAUGUCUGCAGCACUCCUUGUU